ensembl:snoRNA SNORA73 Small nucleolar RNA SNORA73 family
CCAACAUAGAUACCCUGGGACAUCGGUCUUCUGGUUUCUGUGCUAGUGGCUUAGGGGAGCACAAAUGCUUGCCCAUCAAGCACAUUUCCUUUCCACAAAGCUGGAGAUGAAGCUGGGCUCCAAAUAGGCACCUGCAUACGCGUUACUUCUUAGACUUGUGGGGACAGCAAGUGAGGAGGUAAACCAUGUUGGAAUCAGUC